AGUGAACGCUGGCGGUAGGCCUAACACAUGCAAGUCGAACGGCAGCACAGUAAGAGCUUGCUCUUACGGGUGGCGAGUGGCGGACGGGUGAGGAAUACAUCGGAAUCUACUUUUUCGUGGGGGAUAACGUAGGGAAACUUACGCUAAUACCGCAUACGACCUACGGGUGAAAGCAGGGGAUCUUCGGACCUUGCGCGGUUGGAUGAGCCGAUGUGGGAUUAGCUAGUUGGCGGGGUAAAGGCCCACCAAGGCGACGAUCCGUAGCUGGUCUGAGAGGAUGGUCAGCCACACUGGAACUGAGACACGGUCCAUACUCCUACGGGAGGCAGCAGUGGGGAAUAUUGGACAAUGGGCGCAAGCCUGAUCCAGCCAUAGCGAGUGGGUGAAGAAGGCCUUCGGGUUGUAAAGCCCUUUUGUUGGGAAAGAAAAGCAGCAGGUUAAUACCCCGCUGUUCUGACGGUACCCAAAGAAUAAGCACCGGCUAACUUCGUG
rnacentral:rRNA from 1 species